rnacentral:rRNA from 1 species
AACGAACGCUGGCGGCAUGCCUAACACAUGCAAGUCGAACGAGACCUUCGGGUCUAGUGGCGCACGGGUGCGUAAAGCGUGGGAACCUGCCCUUAGGUUCGGAAUAACUCCCCGAAAGGGGUGCUAAUACCGGAUAAUGUCUUCGGACCAAAGAUUGAUCGCCAUUGGAUGGGCCCGCGUUGUAUUAGCUAGUUGGUAGGGUAAAAGCCUACCAAGGCGACGAUCCAUAGCUGGGCUGAGAGGAUGAUCAGCCACACUGGGACUAAGACACGGCCCAGACUACUAGGCAAGGCAGCAGUGGGGAAUAUUGGACAAUGGGGGAAAGGCUGAUCCAGCAAUGCCGGGUGAGUGAUGAAGGCCUUAGGGAAGUAAAGCUCGUUUACCCGGGAUGAUAAUGACAGUACCGGGAGAAUAAGCACCGGCUAACUCCGUG